UACGUAGGGUGCGAGCGUUAAUCGGAAUUUCUGGGCGUAAAGCGUGCGCAGGCGGCUUUGCAAGACAGAUGUGAAAUCCCCGGGCUCAACCUGGGAACUGCAUUUGUGACUGCAAGGCUAGAGUACGGCAGAGGGGGAUGGAAUUCCGCGUGUAGCAGUGAAAUGCGUAGAUAUGCGGAGGAACACCAAUGGCGAAGGCAAUCCCCUGGGCCUGUACUGACGCUCAUGCACGAAAGCGUGGGGAGCAAACAGG
rnacentral:rRNA from 1 species